GAUGAACGCUGGCGGCGUGCCUAAUACAUGCAAGUCGAGCGAACGGACGAGAAGCUUGCUUCUCUGAUGUUAGCGGCGGACGGGUGAGUAACACGUGGAUAACCUACCUAUAAGACUGGGAUAACUUCGGGAAACUGGAGCUAAUACCGGAUAAUAUUUUGAACCGCAUGGUUCAAAAGUGAAAGACGGUCUUGCUGUCACUUAUAGAUGGAUCCGCGCUGCAUUAGCUAGUUGGUAAGGUAACGGCUUACCAAGGCAACGAUGCAUAGCCGACCUGAGAGGGUGAUAGGCCACACUGGAACUGAGACACGGUCCAGACUCCUACGGGAGGCAGCAGUAGGGAAUCUUCCGCAAUGGGCGAAAGCCUGACGGAGCAACGCCGCGUGAGUGAUGAAGGUCUUCGGAUCGUAAAACUCUGUUAUUAGGGAAGAACAUAUGUGUAAGUAACUGUGCACAUCUUGACGGUAACUAAUCAGAAAGCCACGGCUAACUACGUG
rnacentral:rRNA from 1 species